rnacentral:rRNA from 1 species
AUACGUAGGUGGCAAGCGUUGCUCGGAAUGACUGGGCGUAAAGGGCGCGUAGGCGGUAUGGACAGUCAGAUGUGAAAUUCCUGGGCUUAACCUGGGGGCUGCAUUUGAUACGUCCAAACUAGAGUGUGAGAGAGGGUUGUGGAAUUCCCAGUGUAGAGGUGAAAUUCGUAGAUAUUGGGAAGAACACCGGUGGCGAAGGCGGCAACCUGGCUCAUAACUGACGCUGAGGCGCGAAAGCGUGGGGAGC